UGGGGAAUCUUGGACAAUGGGCGAAAGCCUGAUCCAGCAAUGCCGCGUGAGUGAUGAAGGCCUUAGGGUUGUAAAGCUCUUUUACCAGGGAUGAUAAUGACAGUACCUGGAGAAUAAGCUCCGGCUAACUCCGUGCCAGCAGCCGCGGUAAUACGGAGGGAGCUAGCGUUGUUCGGAAUUACUGGGCGUAAAGCGUACGUAGGCGGUGACUCAAGUCAGAGGUGAAAGCCUGGAGCUCAACUCCAGAACUGCCUUUGAAACUAGGUCGCUAGAAUCACGGAGAGGUGAGUGGAAUUCCGAGUGUAGAGGUGAAAUUCGUAGAUAUUCGGAAGAACACCAGUGGCGAAGGCGGCUCACUGGACGUGUAUUGACGCUGAGGUACGAAAGCGUGGGGAGCAAACAGGAUUAGAUACCCGCGUAGUCCCUGAGCGGGCUGGCAAGGCGCAU
rnacentral:rRNA from 1 species